UCCGAGUUGUCCCCGGCAGUCCCAUUAGAGUCCCCGACUUUACUCGCUGGCAACUAAUGGCAGGGGUUGCGCUCGUUGCGGCACUUAAGCCAACACCUCACGACACGAGCUGACGACAGCCAUGCAGCACCUGUGACGGCCCCCCGAAGGGAAGCCGGGCUCUCACCCGGCCGCAGCCGCCAUGUCAAGCCCUGGUAAGGUUCUUCGCGUUGCGUCGAAUUGAACCACAUGCUCCGCUGCUUGUGCGGGCCCCCGUCAAUUCCUUUGAGUUUUAGCCUUGCGGCCGUACUCCCCAGGCGGGGCGCUUAAUGCGUUAGCUUCGGCACGGACGGAGUCGACACCGCCCACACCUAGCGCCCAACGUUUACGGCGUGGACUAC
rnacentral:misc_RNA from 1 species